CCUGGUGGUCAUGGCGAGGGGGAAACACCCGAUCCCAUCCCGAACUCGGAAGUUAAGCCCCUCAGCGCCGAUGAUACUGCCGUUCUAACGGUGGGAAAGUAGGUCGCCGCCAGGA
rnacentral:rRNA from 1 species